rnacentral:rRNA from 1 species
AGGUUGAUCCUGGCUCAAGAUGAACAACUGGUUGCGUGCUUAACACAUGUAAGUCAAACGGAAAGGCCUCAGCUUGCUGGGGUACUCUAGUGGCCAGACGGGUGAGUAACACAUGGGUGAUCUGCCCUUGCUCUUUGCGGAUAAGCUUGGGAAACUGGGUCUAAUUCCGACUAUGACCACUUGUAUGACGUUGUGCAGGAAGAUUAGGAGCUGUGGGAUGAGCGUGCGGCUUAUCUGCUUGUUGAUGGGGUAAUAGCCUACCAAGCCGCCGAUGGGUAUCCGGCAUCAGAGGGUGUACGUACACAUUCCGCAUGAGAUACGACCCAGACUCCUACGUGAGGCAGCAGUCGGCAAUAUUGCACAAUGCGCGCAAGCCUGAUGCAGCGACCCCGAGUGGGGGAUGAAGGCAUUCGGGUUGUAAACUCCUUUCGCUAUUGUCGAAGUUUUCGGGUGACGGUAGGUAGAUAAGACGCACCGCGCUAUCUACGUGCCACCACCCGCGGUAUUAUGUAGGGUGCAAGCGUGGUCUCGAAUUUCUGGGCGUAAAGAGCUCGUAGGUGGUUUGUCGCAUCGUCUAUGAAAUCCCGGGGCUUUACUUCUGGCGUGCAGAUGAUACGGGCAUAAUUUGAGUGCUGUAGGGGAGACUGGAAUUUCUGGUGUAGCGGUGAAAUGCGCAGAUAUCUGGAGGAACCCCGAUGGGGAAGGCAGGUCUCUGGGCAGUAACUGACGCUGAGGACCGAAAGCAUGGGUAGCCAACCAGGUUAGAUUCCCUGGUAGUUCAUUCCGUAAACGGUUGUUUAUAGGUGUAGGGGGUUUGCACGUCUUCUGUGCAGUAGUCAAGGCAUUAAGCGCCCCGCUUGGGGAGUACGGCCGCAAGGCUAAAAAUCAAAGGAAUCGACGGGGGCCGGCACAAGCGUGCGGAGCAUGUGGAUUAAUUAGGUGCACAGUGAAGAACCUUUCAUGGGCCUGACAGGCACCGGAUCGGGCUAGAGAUAGUCUUUCCCUAGUGGUCGGUAUACAGGCGGUGCAUGGUAGUCGUCAGCUCGUGUCAGUGAGAUAUGGGGCUAAGUCCCGCAACGAGCGCAACCCUUGUCGUAGGUUGCCAGCACGUUAUGGUGGGAACUCAUGAGAGACGGCCGGGGUUAAUUCGGAGGAAGGUGGGGAUGAUGUCAAAUCAUCAUGCCCAUUUAUGUGCGAGGGCUUCACACAAGCUGCAAUGGUCGAUACAAUGGGCAGUGACAUAGUGAGGUGAAGCGAAUCCCAGAAAGUCGGCCUUAGUUAGGAUGCGGGUUCGCAACUCGACCCCAAGAAGUCGGAGUCGAUAGUAAUCGCAGAUCAGCAACGAGGCGGUGAACAAGUUCCCGGCCCUAGUACACACCGCCCGUCA